UACGUAGGUGACGAGCGUUGUCCGGAUUUACUGGGCGUAAAGAGCGCGCAGGCGGUCGUUCAAGUCGAGUGUGAAAGCCCCCGGCUCAACUGGGGAGGGUCACUCGAUACUGAUCGACUUGAAGGCAGGAGAGGGAAGCGGAAUUCCCGGUGUAGUGGUGAAAUGCGUAGAUAUCGGGAGGAACACCAGUGGCGAAGGCGGCUUCCUGGCCUGCUCUUGACGCUGAGGCGCGAAAGCUAGGGUAGCAAACGGG
rnacentral:rRNA from 1 species